UACGGGGGGGGGGCAAGCGUUGUUCGGAAUUACUGGGCGUAAAGGGCUCGUAGGCGGCCAACUAAGUCAGACGUGAAAUCCCUCGGCUUAACCGGGGAACUGCGUCUGAUACUGGAUGGCUUGAAUCCGGGAGAGGGAUGCGGAAUUCCAGGUGUAGCGGUGAAAUGCGUAGAUAUCUGGAGGAACACCGGUGGCGAAGGCGGCAUCCUGGGACCGGCAUUGACGCUGAGGAGCGAAAGCCAGGGGAGCAAACGGG
rnacentral:rRNA from 1 species